rnacentral:rRNA from 1 species
AUUGAACGCUGGCGGCAUGCCUUACACAUGCAAGUCGAACGGCAGCACGGGAGCAAUCCUGGUGGCGAGUGGCGAACGGGUGAGUAAUAUAUCGGAACGUGCCCAGUCGUGGGGAUAACGUAGCGAAAGCUACGCUAAUACCGCAUACGAUCUAUGGAUGAAAGCGGGGGAUCGCAAGACCUCGCGCGAUUGGAGCGGCCGAUAUCAGAUUAGGUAGUUGGUGAGGUAAAGGCUCACCAAGCCGACGAUCUGUAGCUGGUCUGAGAGGACGACCAGCCACACUGGGACUGAGACACGGCCCAGACUCCUACGGAGGCAGCAGUGGGGAAUUUUUGGGACAAUGGGCGCAAGCCUGAUCCAGCAAUGCCGCGUGCAGGAUGAAGGCCUCGG